AUCGCUUUGGCCGAGUGGUUAAGGCGUGUGCCUGCUAAGCACAUGGGGUAUCCUAGAACCUCUCAGGCGACA
rnacentral:tRNA from 1 species